rnacentral:lncRNA from 1 species
AGGGGGCCGCGGGCUGCCGGCCCACCUUGCUGCUCCGCACGGCUCGGGUUUGGGCUGGGACUCAGGCUCCGAGGGGCGCGCGGGAGGAAGAGGAGGCGCCGCCCAGCCCCGCCCAGCCCCUCCCGCUGGCGGCCACGUGGGGAGCGGGCGCGGGCCGGGGGCGGAGUCUACUGGGGGGGCUCCUAGAGAGGCCCCGCCCACCGCUGCCCCCCGGGGCGGGGCGCCCAGGGACUCUCCCCAAGCCCGCAAAUACCCGCGCCACCUCCGCCAGGCUCGGUCUGUUCCCGGGCCUCCCAGUUUCUCUCCUGCCGGGCGGGGGUGGCGCUGGGGGUUGGGACACACGGAGCGGGGAGUGGGGGUCCCGGGAAAGCUCUGGAAGUGGAUCCCCCGGCCUCAGCCCUCUCUGUCCGCCCCUCUCCCUGGGCUCCGCUGCUCCGCCCCCUCCCACAAACCUCCUGCAGGUCCACCUCGCCCUGGCAGCGCGCCAGGUAACCGGCUCACCCACUGAGUCUUCCUGUCAAAGCCUGGCGGCAAGUGGACCAGCCUCCCUGGCCGCGCUCGCUGAACCCCGCGUGGGAGCCCCCUAGGGCCAGAUGACCCCGCGAGCUGACGCCUGGGGUCCCCUCAUGGGGCUUGGUCUUCUGGAAUGCAGAGCGUCCCCAUCAGGGGGGCAGCCUGGGACCUGGUCCCUGGUCCCCAGCAGACAUGCGGUCUGAGUGGUCUCUGGGCCUGGACGCUGCUGGCUGCAAGCAGCAGGCCUGAAUGCCUCCCCCUCUUUCUGUCCUGCCUCAUCACUCCUACAGACUAGGCGGGGGGGGGGGGGGGGGGGGGGGGGGNNNNNNNNNNNNNNNNNNNNNNNNNNNNNNNNNNGCCCUAAUGGCCCAGCAGGAGGCCAGCCCAUGGGGGAGGGGCAGGCGUGCCUUCAGCCCCAGGCCUGGUGGGGGAGACACCACCCUCCGCAGGGUCCUGCGCUGGCAGGGCCUGACCUGGAUUGCUGAGCUUUAGUUUCCCCAUCUGUUAAAGAGAUGGACAGUUCAGCCGAAAGGUUACUGGGUGAUGUGAGCACAGUGGGUGAAGCGCCUGCACUGGCGGCUUUGGCUUAUCAAA